rnacentral:rRNA from 1 species
UGGGCUCAGUCCGCAACCGAGCGCAACCCUCACUUUUAGUUGCCAUCAUUAAGUUGGGCACUCUGAAAGAACUGCCAGUGAUAAGCUGGAGGAAGGUGGGGAUGACGUCAAGUCCUCAUGGCCCUUACGUGUUGGGCUACACACGUGCUACAAUGGCAUCUACAACAGGAAGCAAAACGGCAACGUUAAGCAAAUCCCGAAAAGAUGCCUCAGUUCGGAUUGCACUCUGCAACUCGAGUGCAUGAAGCUGGAAUUACUAGUAAUCGUGGAUCAGCGUGCCACGGUGAAUGCGUUCCCGGGUCUUGUACACACCGCCCGUCACACCAUGGGAGUUGGUUCUACCUUAAGGCAAGGCUUUAAACCCUUGACCACGGUAUAGUCAGCGACUGGGGUGAAGUCGUAACAAGGUACC